rfam:Candidatus Nitrospira defluvii chromosome, complete genome.
GGAGAGGUGCGAGAGCGGCCGAAUCGGACGGUCUCGAAAACCGUUGUCCUGAAAGGGACCGUGGGUUCGAAUCCCACCCUCUCCG